rnacentral:rRNA from 1 species
CCCGGCGACCGGCGCACGGGUGAGUAACACGUAUGAAACCUGCCCGUAGCAGGGGGAUAAGCGGAAGAAAUUCCGUCUAAUACCGCGUAACAACCCAUGGAGGCAUCUCUGUGGGUUUAAAGGAAGCGAUUCCGGCUACGGAUGGUCAUGCGUCGCAUUAGCUUGUUGGCGGGGUAACGGCCCACCAAGGCGACGAUGCGUAGGGGUUCUGAGAGGGAGGUCCCCCACACUGGUACUGAGACACGGACCAGACUCCUACGGAAGGCAGCAG